rnacentral:tRNA from 1 species
ACCUGAGUGCUGGAAUUGGUAUACAGGGAAAACUUAAAAUUUUCUGAGUCACACUCAUGAGCGUUCAAGUCGUUCCUCAGGUA